rnacentral:snoRNA from 1 species
AAUAUGUGAUGAGAAAAUGUUUCGGUCCCAGAUGAUGCCCACUGAUAACUUUUACAUUUUCUGAUGUU